rnacentral:rRNA from 1 species
AGUGAACGCUGGCGGUAGGCCUAACACAUGCAAGUCGAACGGCAGCACAGUAAGAGCUUGCUCUUACGGGUGGCGAGUGGCGGACGGGUGAGGAAUACAUCGGAAUCUACUUUUUCGUGGGGGAUAACGUAGGGAAACUUACGCUAAUACCGCAUACGACCUACGGGUGAAAGCAGGGGAUCUUCGGACCUUGCGCGAUUGAAUGAGCCGAUGUCGGAUUAGCUAGUUGGCGGGGUAAAGGCCCACCAAGGCGACGAUCCGUAGCUGGUCUGAGAGGAUGAUCAGCCACACUGGAACUGAGACACGGUCCAGACUCCUACGGGAGGCAGCAGUGGGGAAUAUUGGACAAAGGGCGCAAGCCUGAUCCAGCCAUACCGCGUGGGUGAAGAAGGCCUUCGGGUUGUAAGGCCCUUUUGUUGGGAAAGAAAAGCAGCAGGUUAAUACCCCGCUGCUCUGACGGUACCCAAAGAAUAAGCACCGGCUAACUUCGUG